rnacentral:lncRNA from 1 species
GAGUUGGAAAACCCCGCCCCUCAAGAAGUAGUUCCAGAAUGGAUGGCCCCUCCGUGGCAGUGAGUGGGAAGCCCCUUCACUUCCUCCUGGGCAGUAUCUAGCCAUAACAUAUCAGUGGAUAAGAGUUACAUUAGUGACAUCUUAGCUCCACUUCAACAGGACAAUCUGAGACUGACCAGUGACAAUCCUUGGGAAUAGGCCUUGACAUCUAUGAUUACAGGACCUAUAACUGUGGUAAAAUUGGAGAAUGUUCAUCUUUGUCCUCAUCCCAUCUGGCAGGGCAUCAUGCAUCUGGUCCAGGAUUCAUGUUGAGCACUGGUGACAUGGCAAAACAACAACAAAAGCAAAUAUCCAAGUGAAGAAGAUCACUGAAGUAACCAUGCUCCCUGAACAAUUAAACUUAAACGGAGACAGGUAUGUUUCAGAGCUGUUGAUAUUAAGACUACUGCACCCUUGGAGGCCAUGUUAAUGUCCAUUU